CACGUAGGGGGCGAGCGUUGUCCGGAUUUAUUGGGCGUAAAGAGCUCGUAGGCGGUUUCGUAAGUCGGAUGUGAAAACUCCAGGCUCAACUUGGAGACGCCAUUCGAUACUGCGAUGACUUGAGUCCGGUAGGGGAGUGUGGAAUUCCUGGUGUAGCGGUGAAAUGCGCAGAUAUCAGGAAGAACACCCGUGGCGAAGGCGGCUCUCUAGUACGGUACUGACGCUGAGACGCGAAAGCGUGGGGAGCGAACAGG
rnacentral:rRNA from 1 species